AGACGUCUACAUUAGAUACCCGGGUAGUCCCAGCCGUAAAUAUGCGCGUUAGGUGUAUCGGUGACCACGAGUUACCGAGGUGCCGAAGGGAAACCGUGAAACGUGCCGCCUGGGAAGUACGGUCGCAAGGCUGAAACUUAAAGGAAUUGCGGGGAGCACCACAACGGGUGGAGCCUGCGGUUUAAUUGGACUCAACGCCGGGAAGCUCACCGGAUAAGACAGCGGAAUGAUUGCCGGGCUGAAGACUCUGCAUGACUAGCUG
rnacentral:rRNA from 1 species